GUUUCUGUAGUGUAGUGGUUAUCACAUUUGCUUCACACGCAUAAAGGUCCCUGGUUCAAAGCCAGGCAGAAACA